AUCAAGUCUGAUGCCUAACCUACUGAGCCACUCAGGUGCCCCUCCUUCUUUCGAUCUUAACUGUAUAUUGAAAAUUAUUUUUGUGUUAUAUUUUAUCUAACAGUUUUGUUUGUCUGGAAGAGGUGCCAUCUAGGUGAUUUCUACCUAUGACAGUAUCUGGAAAUCAAUCACUGAGAUAAAGAUUUUUUAAGACCUAGAAGUUGAUAACACCUAGUCUUUCUUAAAAGAGAAAUAUGAGUAUGUUUUCCUGAAAUCUAAUUUUUAAUCACAAAACAAAAAGCAGGAAGACAACUUAAGAGAAAGGAACAAAGGAAUAAAUAUCUUAUAAACUGAAAGCAGCCAAUGACUUGCCUAGAUUAUAGAGCAAGAUAGAAUAUGAAAUCAUUUGUGAAUAUAAAAAUUCACUUAAGAAAAUGGAAAAACAUAUUUAGCCAAUCCCUGUAUUAAUGUGCCAAUCCCUAUAUUAACCCCACUAAGUUCAGAAUAUUUAAAUAACUUGAUAAAUAUCAUAGAUCCAAUAAGUAUUUGUUUUGAGAUACAACGCCAGCCAUGACUGAGCUGCACUUUUUCCAUUUUAAUAUUCAGUAUUAAUAUUCAAGCUUGGGAGUCUGCAGAUGUAUUCUGAAAAUCCAAGAACAUGUAAGUUGCAAAUACUGACUAUGAUAAUUCACAAUUGAAAGCUAUUUUCAUGGAAUCCAUUCUUCCUUAAGUCAGUGUUUCUGUAGCUGGAGUCUGAGAAACCUUGAGAGUAGAAGAACUGUCCUUAGAUACACUCAGGGACAGGACAGAAAUAUCGACAAGCUUUUAUGGGCUUCUUAUUUUAUGUUCCCUGAGAAAUUUUUUUUUUAAUUCCAAUCUUGUUGGUGCUGCAGUAGGUUGAAAUGGAUUUUCUCACCAUCUUUUUUGGGGGUAGGAAGGGAGAUCAGUGUCCCCAGGGACUGGCUGGCCUAUUUACAGAAACUCUCAAGAAGGUCCUGUGCUGGGUCCAAUCCAGGCCUGUGGGAAUGGGGUGGAGGGGGCGGUGGUGGGCAGCCUAGAGGCUGUCCUGCCUCAGCUUGCUUCCUCAUGGCUGAUGUUCUGGCAACAAGUGCAAUCCUUGUGCCCUCUUCCCUCUCCCACUAAGAUCCAGCAUAUAAAUUUUUGAGGCUCAGAGACAAGGCCAACUUUGUCAGUACUUAAGUAUUUAAUCUAAUCUUUAUCUAAACUCUAUUUUUCUUUUUUAGCCUUUCUUUCUGUCUGGUUUCCUUUUCAUGUGUUGAAUUAUUGUGAUAACUUGCCUCCGCACCCUCUUUUUUUUUUUAACCAUAAAGAUAUUGAUAAGAUUGGGGGUGUUUAAAAGGAAAUAACUAAGAUAACUGAGGGUGUGGACUUAUUUGUGUGGGAAAACUAAGCCAGGAACGAGUCUUGUCACUUAAUACUCUCAAAGCCCCUCAGCUCUGGAGGAGGGGGGGCUUAAGAUAUUUUAAAAAGCAAUUUUAUUUUUGUAGUUGUUUUUGAGGAUUUGUAGAUUUUUAUACAGAGAUCAAAUAUCUGUGAUUUUCAAAAUGCUAUAACUUACAUUUGCAAUCCUUUUGUUUCUUUGUUCUUUUUCUAAAACAUGAGCUUUUCUGAUACAUGGAAGAAAUGGACACUUAUGCCUACCAGUGAGUUUAUGAUAAUGAGCAUCUGUGUGGACUGUGGCCAGGAAUGACGGACACACACAGGUUUGAAGACCUCCUAGCCCACAGUUUCAGUCUGUGGGCCAACUGGACUGCAGCCCCUUGCUUCUGGAGUGAAUAGGGAAAACAUGGCACUAGACCCAGAUCCCACUGGCCUAUUCAAGAGAUAAUCAAAAUGACUUUGCCACAUAAGACUCACAGCUGACAGAAUGUCUAAAUACAAUUUCAUUUAAUUACCACAAAGAUUAUGUCAUGCAGACUCUCAUAUGUCACAUUGACUUUCAUCUGAAAAUAGAAGACUGAAACCUCAGGAGAUAUGUGCCUUAGCAGACUAUGUAAGUAUGUAGCAAAACUGAAACUAAACUCAAGUCUUCUAAAUCCAUAUUCAGCUUUUAACUACAAAGGAAAAAGAAAAUGUGAAUUUACUCUUAUUAGAAAUUCAGGCUGUUGAAGCUGAUUGUAGAGUAUGUGCACUGCACAAAGGUUCUCAAUUGAGGAGCCAAGUCAGCUGAAAUUGUACUCCAUCCUCUCCUGUCUACACCUCGCACCUUAUAUUGGCACAGAGGACUGCAUCUAUCAGAGAAAAAGCUUGGUUGCUUACCCUGAUGGAAAGGACCACUUAGCAACAGUCAGUGAAGAACUGAAACCCUCAGUUAAACAUCCUACAAAGAACUGAAUCCAACCAACACCUCAUGAGUGAACUUGGAAGCUGAUCUUUCCCCCAUCCACCCUUGAGAUCAACUACAGACCUGUCUGACGCCCAGGCUGCAGCCUUAUGAGGGACCUUAGAGCAAAGGACUCGGCUAAGCCAUGCCUGGAUUCCUGACCUAACACAUUGUGAGAUAAUAGAUACAUGUUGCUGCUAAAUUUCAGAGUAAUUUGUUAUGCAACAAUAGAUAACUAAUCCAGUUGAGUGCUUAGGGAAUAUUUUGAUAAAUGGAGUUUUUCUGACAUCCUAUCAUUUAGAAAGAAACUACCUGGAUGGGGGCAGGUAGCCAAAUUCUUCAUUCAUAUAGGAAAUUUCAGAUAGCUCUCCUGAGGUAUAUUUGAAAUUGGAAUUUAAACUAUGGCAGAUUCUCAGUGAUUUUUAUCAAGAUUAGUUGAAACAAGACUGUUACUUUAGAAUUCCAAGAGUUCAGAUUAUGCCUCAGAGAAGGAAGAUAAAAUGUGUAGAGAGAACAAAGAAUUAAUCAUGUGUUAGUGGAAAAAUUACUUAACAUUUUAGAAGCUUCAGUUCUCCUAUGUUACAAAAGGGAGCAAUUGGACUAGAAGAUCUCUAAGGCUCUUCUGAGUUUAAAUUCUGUGGAUGAAUCUUAACUGCUUCUAGAGUUACUGUCCCCAACCUCCUCAAAAAAAGAAGACAGAAAGAAAGGAAGGAAGGAAGGAAGGAAGGAAGGAAGGAAGGAAGGAAGAAAAAAGGAAGAAAAGAAGAAAGAAAGAGGGAGGCAGGGAGGAAGGAAAGAAGGAAGCUUUACACCAAAGAUCUAAUUUUUCUGUGUAGUAUUCCCCUAUGGAUCAUUUAUUACCUUUGGAAAUUGAGGCUUCCCUGGAAUAACCAAAUACAAAAAUCCAUGAAUUGGAUAAAUGAGAUAUUAGAUGGCCAAAACAAGAUCACUCUAGAGAAGGGGUUACUUCUAACAAGACCUGGAAAAAAUUACAUACACGUAGGAGAAAAUCCUUGUGCCCUUUGAGAGAGCCAAAAAUGCUGAGACAGCAUGAAUGCUUAAAGGAGUAUGUAAGAAGCAUGAAUCAUAAAACCAACACAAAAUUGAUAAAUUAGACUAUUAAAAUAAAAAAAUUGAUCUUUGAAAUACAUUACUCAUAAGUGAAAAAGCAAGCUACAGAAUGGGAGAUAAUAUUCACAAUAUACAUUCUGAAAAAGGACUGAUAGCAGAAUAUAGAAAGAACUCUUACAACCUAGUCAUAAUGAGACCAACAACCCAAUAAAAAGAUCAGCAAAAGAUUUUAAUACUUCUCAAAAAUAGAUACAUUAAUAUAAGCACAUGAAAAAUGCUCAAUAUGUAGUCAUUGGGGAAACACAUAUAAUACCCACAUGAAAUGUCACUUCACACUCAUUGGAAUGUCCAAAAUGAAAAAGACUAAGAAUACACCAAGUGAUAAUGAAGAUUGGGAGCAGAUGAAAUCACACAUUGAUAGUGGGAAUAUAACAUUAUAUGGCCACUUUGGGAAUCUUUGGCAGAUUUUCAAAAAGAAAAACAUCUAUUCACCCCAUGAACCAGCGAUCUCACUUACAGGUAGUUAACCAAGAAAAAUAAACAUGUCAACACAAAUCUUUAUUUCCAAAAGUCAAAACCUAGACAUGACUCAUAAGUUCAUCAGCAAGUGAAUGAAUAAACAAAAGCACUAUAUCCACACAAUAGAAUACUACUCAGCCAUAAAAAAAAAAAAAAGAAAAGAAAAAAAAGUAUGGACAUAUACAAAAUUAGGCGAACCUAAAACUUUAAGUUGAAUGAAGGAAGACAGGCACAGAAAUGUACACAUUGCACAGUUCCAUUAACAUGAAAAACUGAAAAUAUAAACCAAAGUGACAAAAAACAAAUCAGUGGUUGCCCACAUCCAGAGGCUGCAAAAGGGAUGGCUGGUCAAGGGACAUGAGAAAACUUUUUGGAUAAUGGAUAUAAAUAUUUUGUAUUUUGAUUGCAGUAUAUGUAUGUGCCAAAGCUCUUUGAAUUAUACAUUUUAUUAAAAAUUUUUAAAGUUGGC